CCCUUAGAUGUUCUGGGCCGCACACGCGCUACACUGAAGGAGGCAGCGUGUACUCCUGGAUCGAAAGAUUUGGGUAACCCGCGAAUCUCCUUCGUGCUAGGGAUUGAGGUUUGCAAUUAUCCUUCAUGAACGAGGAAUUCCCAGUAAGUGCAAGUCAUAAGCUUGCGCUGACUACGUCCCUGCCCUUUGUACACACCGCCCGUCGCUACUACCGAUUGAAUGAUUUAGUGAGGACUUCGGACUGGGACCGAUGCGGCUUUCGGGCUGCGUCGGUAUUCGGGAAAGAUGUCCAAACUGUAUCAUUUAGAGGAAGUAAAAGUCGUANCA
rnacentral:rRNA from 1 species